AGUUUCCAGUGGCCAGGGGUACGCGCGGCCGGAGGGGCGCCGGGGCCGUACUCACCGCGGCCGUUCUGGUUGGGCCGGUACACGCUGCCCACGCUGAGGCGGCCCUGCUGCGCGCCGUUCCGCUCCCCACCCGGCGGGGGCGUGUCGGAGCUGCGCACCGGCAGGAGCUCCUGCCUGCCUGGAUGAAGAGGAGGUCAAGACUUUGUCCCCCACUCCGCAAGAUACCCUCUCUGUUCCGGAGCGGUGGGUCCCUCCCCUGUUAGGACCUUGUCUCCCUCAGGACUGGACCUGGAUCCUGGGCCUGCAGUCAGAUUGCCAGUUUCACUUAGAGGUGGAAAUGUCAACCCACUGGUUGGAAUGGGAAGGUGAGACAGGAUUUCACCAUGUUAGCCAGGAUGGUCUUGAUCUCCUGACCUCAUGAUCUGCCCACCUCGGCCUCCCAAAGUGCUGGGCUUACAGGCGUGAGCCACCGUGCCCGGCCAAAAAUAACUUUUAAAAACAUGAGUAUAGCAUACACACACACAAAAGUCCACAAAUCCUAGGUGUACCACUUGAUGAAUGAUCCCAACGUGAGCACACCUCUGGAUUACCACCUGGAUCAAGAAAUAGGACAUCACAGCAGCUGGCAGCUUCCAAGGAGAAGCUCUGGAAAGUUCUGCCUGUCUCAGCACCUGGCUGGAUCGGAAACGAGUUUUCUUUAACCAGAUUUUUAAUGACUGACUUAUGUGGACAAAUCAUAACUGAAUGAAUCACCUCCUUUGUUGAUUUUUUUGGGUACUUUAUUUGCUAUUAUAAAUGAUGCUGUAAUAAGCACCCUUGAAGAAAUCUUCAUAUCUGCCUCUCCUGUGUAGCAGGUCACAGUGCCUGGGUUUGGUUCUAGCCCUCAUUUGUGAACUGUGUGACUCACCAUGCCUUUUUUCUUUCUGUAAGACAGGAAUAAUGGUAAGAAUUUAAAUGGGGGUAAUAUGGAGCGCGUUUAGUUCAGAGCCUGGUGCAUACAAGCACUCAAUAAGUACUGGCGAUUAUUAGACCUUUAGAUUAAUUUAUUAGAAGUUGGAUUUCUGGUGAAAGGGUUUGAGUGUUUUUGAGGCUUUGGCACAGAAUACCCAGCUGGUCCCAGAAAGGUGGUUCCCAUUUACCUGCCCGAAGGUAAUUCACCCUUACUGAUACUGAGUACUGUUUUCUAAAAGAACAUUAAAAAUUGGAUAGGUUAAAAACAGGUGAAUACAUUUUUUUAGUUGCAUUUUUUUGGUUACCCGUGAGAGUGAACAUGUUGCCAUGUGUUUGCUGACCUCCUAAAUGGUCUAUUUGCUCCUACCUUUGUACCCCAAAAGUCUGCUCUCAAGAUGGUAGCCAGAAUGAUCCUUUUUGAGACAUAAGUCAAAAUUUCACUCUUCUCCUUAAAGCUCUGCAAUGGUUCUCAGGUUAAAAGCCAAAGUCCUGUUCAAGGCCUCCAGGGUCCUCACCACUUGGUCCCUUGCUCUUUCUGUUCUAGCCAACUUGGCCUUCUCCUGCCCCUCCGCCGCACCAUGGCAAUUUCCCCUGCUCUGUGUGGUCAACUACCUGAAUCUGUUCAAAGCUUUGCUCAAAUGUCUCCUUCCUGAUGAGACCUCCCCAGCCCCUGAGCUCCCCAUGCCUCACUCCUGAUCGCCUUACUUAACCCUUCUUUUUCUUUUUUGCCAGUAGUACUUAUCACCGUCUAAAAUACUUCAUAAUUUACUUGUUUAUUGUUUGCCCCUCUCCAAUAGAAUGUAAGCUCCUUGGGGCAGGGACCUUUGUCCUUUGUCUUGUUCACUGCUGUGUCCCAUGUGUAAACUUGUCUGGCACAGAAGAGGUGCUCGAUAAAUAUUUGUUGAGUGAAUGAAUGGUAAAUUUUCUGUUCAUAUUCUUUGACUAUUUUCUAUUGUAAUGUUCAUCUUUUUAGUAUUGGUUUAUAAGAUGUAUAUUUAGCACCUUUUCAUAUAUCACUCUUUGUCACAUAUUAUGCAACUAAUUUGUCAUUUCCAUCAAUUUUUAAAAUACUUUCUUGAUGCUUCAUUUUUAAGCUGUCAGAUUAUUAAUCUUUUCUUUAUGGUCUUGGACUUUAUUGUUGCAUAACCGCUGCCUUCACCAGGAACAUAUAAAUUUUCAAUUAAAUGUUCUUCUGAGA
rnacentral:lncRNA from 1 species